UUGUUAAAUGAUACAUAUCCUGACAGAAUUUCUUGUAUUCUUAGUUCCUAAAUAUCUUAAAAUUUGAGGAAACCUAAUGGAACUGUGAGUGUGAAAAAUAAUCCCGGUUGUAAAAAAAAACAGCCACGAAUGAAAAUAAUGAGCUUUUUGUAUUUCUAAAUGCACAAAAAAAGCUCAAGAGCUUUCAAUGGAUAAUAGAUCUGUCAGAAGGGUAUUGGUUGAAUUUCCGAAAAUAUGGGUGGGAAGAAGAAGUCAUAUUAAGUGGCCGACAAGUUCGUUGGAUUUAUCUCUACUAUAUUAUUUUCUUUGGAGCUAUUUGAAAUAUAUGGUUCACAAGAAUCCAGCACCAACCCUCAAGAACUAUAAUAUCAAAUCACAGCCAAUGUUUCAUGUUGUCAGAUCUACUUUGAAAUAAAACAUUGAUGAGUAUGUA